GCCAGGCGUGGUGGCGCACGCCUGUAAUCCCAGCACUUUGGGAGGCCGAGGUGGGUGGAUCACCUGAGGUCAGGAGUUUGAGACCAGCCUGACCAACAUGGUGAAACCCCAUCUCUA
rnacentral:SRP_RNA from 1 species